rnacentral:rRNA from 1 species
CGGUGGAGCAUGUGGUUUAAUUCGAAGCAACGCGAAGAACCUUACCAGGCCUUGACAUGCAGAGAACUUUCCAGAGAUGGAUUGGUGCCUUCGGGAACUCUGACACAGGUGCUGCAUGGCUGUCGUCAGCUCGUGUCGUGAGAUGUUGGGUUAAGUCCCGUAACGAGCGCAACCCUUGUCCUUAGUUACCAGCACGUUAUGGUGGGCACUCUAAGGAGACUGCCGGUGACAACCGGAGGAAGGUGGGGAUGACGUCAAGCCAUCAUGGCCCUUACGGCCUGGGCUACACACGUGCUACAAUGGUCGGUACAAAGGGUUGCCAAGCCGCGAGGUGGAGCUAAUCCCAUAAAACCGAUCGUAGUCCGGAUCGCAGUCUGCAACUCGACUGCGUGAAGUCGGAAUCGCUAGUAAUCGUGAAUCAGAAUGUCACGGUGAAUACGUUCCCGGGCCUU